rnacentral:rRNA from 1 species
AACGAACGCUGGCGGCGCGCCUAAUACAUGCAAGUCGAGCGAGAAGGUGUAGCAAUACACUUGUAAAGCGGCGAACGGGUGAGGUAUGCAUGGGUAACCUACCCUCGAGUGGGGAAUAACUAGCCGAAAGGUUAGCUAAUACCGCAUACGUUUCCGGAACUUCGGUUUCGGAAAGAAAGCAAUACCGUGGGUAUUGCGCUCCUGGAUGGGCUCAUGUCCUAUCAGCUUGUUGGUGAGGUAACGGCUCACCAAGGCUUCGACGGGUAGCUGGUCUGAGAGGACGAUCAGCCACACUGGCACUGCGACACGGGCCAGACUCCUACGGGAGGCAGCAGUAAGGAAUAUUGGUCAAUGGACGCAAGUCUGAACCAGCCAUGCCGCGUGAAGGAUUAAGGUCCUCUGGAUUGUAAACUUCUUUUAUCUGGACGUAAAAGGCGACUCUUCGUCACUUGACGGUACCAGAUGAAUAAGCACCGGCUAACUCCGUGCCAGCAGCCGCGGU